UUUUUUUUUUUGGGUCACAGUUUAUGUUUAGUUAGAAUUGCAACAUAUGUGGUUCAGUUUCAGACCAUCGUAUAUCCAUGUGUGCCUUGCAACAUAUAUGGUCACAGUUUUGAAAGUUGUGGUACCAUUGCAAUUGAGAUGUAUGGGAAACAUUUGUUUUCUAGCUUCCUAUCACAUUAUUCAUGCACAUGUACAGCAUUCAGUUACUCCCUACAUGAUCCUCAGUACCCAAAGAAUGAUGGUUCCCACCUCUUGAUUACAUGUAGACGCAAUAUUCAAAUUGAUUACAUGUAGACGCAAUAUUCAAAUUGUACUGUUUUUUGCAAAUUGUAGUGCCUAAGUGUAGUUAAAAACCUGUUAUGGUAUCAGCAUAACUACCAGCUCUUGUACUACUUGCAAUAAAAGUAGUACAGGUAAAUAUUGUUUUUUUUUUCAUAACCCAUAAGAAAACACAAGGCAGCCCCAAAAUAUUGUUACAGGUCUACUUUGUAACAUUUUCUCUAUUAAUGGUGCUUUCUAUGAUAGAUACCGAUGGAGAAAACUGCGAACAAGAGAAAUCAAUGUUGAGAAGAAGGCUUGCUGCUUCUGCUAUUGAAAUUGAAAAACAGAGAAUGAAAUGCUUCCCAUGAUUGCAAGCAGCAACAAAGCCAUUCUUGGGCCUCUGCUAGGGCAUGGAAAUUUUUCACAAGCAACCUGAAUUGACAAGUGUUUAGUGUAUGCAUCUGGGAGGGGGUUUGGGGGGGAUCUUAAUUGCAUAGUGAUAGUGUAAGUUCAUCCAAGUAAUGCAUUCAAGAAUGCAGGUUUUAAAACAUUUAUAGUAUUCCAUUAAAUGUUGAAACGUUCAACUCUUCUUACCAGAAAAAGAAAAAGGAAAAAAAAGAAAAUGAAACAUUCUACUCUGGAGCGAUAAAAAAAAAGUAACCCAAAGAACUAGCCUACAUAUCUAGAUGCGAAUGCCCACCCCACCCAUUGCAGACCAAUGAGUCCAUUGGUGUCCCAAGAUUGAAACAAAAAAAGUUACUACUGUUGUCGUCUAAUA